GAACAACGCUGGCGGCGUGCCUAAUGCAUGCAAGUCGAACGGGAGCCUCUUCGGAGGUCGACCGUGGCGGACGGGUGAGGAACACGUGGGUAACCCAUCCGAGCGCGGGGGAUAACGGCGGGAAACCGUCGGUAAUACCCAUGAGCUUCAUCGUUGAUGGGAUGAUGAAGCAAAGGUCGAGAGACCGUGCUUGGCGGGGCCUGCGGCCUAUCAGCUAGAUGGGGG
rnacentral:rRNA from 1 species